ensembl:lncRNA
CUCACCAGUGUUCCCCCUAACUGCACAUAAUGGGAAAGGAAUGGCAGGACCCCAAGGAUGAAGAGAGGUGCUGUGUUGGAAGGAGUUAUACCUUUAUCCAAAACGUCCAACCUCCCAUGAAGUUUUCCUCUUUAAACUUCUCUAAUACUGGGGAGUCAUGGUGAUGAAGAUCUCCCAACUUCUUUAUAAAAGAAUUCCUCCGCCAAGGGAAAAGAUAAGGGUUAUAGAAGAAAAACAAAGACCAAGGAGAUAUGUAUUCUGGACCAAAAGGAUGAUUUUGCAGCCAGAGCUAGCUUUUCAGGCUGAGCAGUUGCUCUGAGAAUGUAUACCCAGCCUUUUCACCCUGCCUGUAGCAUAGCAACAAUCAACCUCAAAUGACAAACCCAUGGAAUGUUCAUAGUAAGGGAGGACCUGCUUCUUGCUGGUCCUGAGUGAAUUGUGGUAAGGAAAAGAAAGGCCAGAGCCAGGAGGUCAAGACAAGCCAGCAGGUGUCCCAUUUUCAAAUGAGGAUAUUCAAGACAGAGGUUCCUGGCCUUCCAAUCUAUAGCAGGUUUUGGAAAGAGGCACUUGACAGGCUGCCCAUAUAUAUCCCAGCACGGACAAAUCCUGGUAAACCUAGCAGCCCAAAGAGCAUGAUUAUCGAAAAGGAAG